UGAAGUCCCAGCUUGCUGGGAUGGAUCAGUGGCGAACGGGUGAGUAACACGUGAGCAACCUGCCCUCCACUUCGGGAUAAGCCUUGGAAACGGGGUCUAAUACCGGAUAUGAGCUUCCGUCGCAUGGCGGGGGUUGGAAAGUUUUUCGGUGGGGGAUGGGCUCGCGGCCUAUCAGCUUGUUGGUGGGGUGAUGGCCUACCAAGGUCGUCGACGGGUAGCCGGCCUGAGAGGGCGACCGGCCACACUGGGACUGAGACACGGCCCAGACUCCUACGGGAGGCAGCAGUGGGGAAUAUUGCACAAUGGGCGCAAGCCUGAUGCAGCGACGCCGCGUGAGGGAUGACGGCCUUCGGGUUGUAAACCUCUUUCAGCAGGGAAGAAGCGCAAGUGACGGUACCUGCAGAAGAAGCGCCGGCUAACUACGUGCCAGCAGCCGCGGUAAUACGUAGGGCGCAAGCGUUGUCCGGAAUUAUUGGGCGUAAAGAGCUCGUAGGCGGUCUGUCGCGUCUGUUGUGAAAUCCCGAGGCUCAACCUCGGGCUUGCAU
rnacentral:rRNA from 1 species